rnacentral:rRNA from 1 species
UACGUAGGCAGCGAGCGUUGUUCGGAUUUACUGGGCGUAAAGAGUGCGUAGGCGGUGCUCCAAGUCUGGUGUGAAAUCUCCCGGCUUAACCGGGAGGGUGCGCCGGAAACUGGGGUGCUGGAGUGUGGGAGAGGUAAGCGGAAUUCCUGGUGUAGCGGUGAAAUGCGUAGAUAUCAGGAGGAACACCUGUGGUGUAGACAGCUUGCUGGACCAUUUCUGACACUGAGACACGAAAGCGUGGGUAGCAAACAGG